AGAGACUUAGGUUAAUAUCAAACCAAGAGCCUUCAAAGCCCUAAAUAGGGGACACUCCCUAGUCUCUG
rnacentral:tRNA from 2 species